GCCCGAGUAGCUCAGUUGGUAGAGCAUACGACUGAAAAUCGUAGUGUCGGUGGUUCGAUCCCGCCCUCGGGCACCA
rnacentral:tRNA from 4 species